AAGAACCAUUGCCACUUUCCUUUCAUUUCUACCAGUCUCUUGACUCUUUGGAAUCGGAGCCGAAAUAAAAAAAGUAAACGAUGGUUUCACACGACUUAAUCGCCGACAUCCUCAGCCGAUUACCCGUUAAGCAUCUUCUACGCUUACGAUCUGUCUCGAAGCUAUGGCGAUUUUUGAUUGACGAUCCCGAUUUCAUCAACCUCCACCUCAGCCGCUCCCUCCGGACCCGCACUAACCACACACUGAUCCUCAAAAACACCGAUCUCCACGCCGCCGAUCUCUCUUCCCUCGGCCCUUUCGCCAAGCUCGAACACCCUCUGAUGAGCUACAACCACGGCGUCGAGAUCUUGGGUUCUUGCAACGGUUUGCUUUGCAUACGCAACAUAGUCGAAGACAUGGCGAUUUGGAACCCUUGCACUAGAAAGUACCAAGUCUUACCUUACCUCCGAUCUUGCAAGGGCUACGUUUGCGGGUUCGGGCACGACCCGAUUAAAGAUGAUUACAAAGUGGUGAAAAUCAUUCAGCUCGAGAGGGCUGAUGGUGAUAAGCCUUUAGAAACAGAGGUUAAAGUUUGCAGCUUGAAGAGAAACAGGUGGAGAAAAAUUCAGGGCAUCCCUUGUGUUUCUUCGUUUCCAACUACUAAUGGGAUCUUUGCUGGUGGUGCUUUGCACUGGGUUUUGACUCGAAAGGUUGAUCUUUUGGUGACAAAUAUGAUCAUUGCUUUGAAUUUAGCUGCUGAAAGUUACAGUGAAGUGCCUCAACCUGAGUAUGAUGAUGACAUAUUUCAAUUGAAUGUUGGGGUUUUGGGGGGAUGUUUAUGUGUGGUAGCUAAUCAUGGUGAUGCUCGAGUUGAUGUUUGGGUGAUGAAGGAAUAUGGGGUUAAGAAGUCUUGGACUAUACUGUUUUCUAUUUCUAGAGAAGAUGUGAUUGGUCCUCUGAGUUUUUUGAAGCCUCUGGCUUACUCUAGGAGCGGUAAUCAAGUUUUGUUGGAACAUGAUAACAUAAAUCUGUUUUGGUAUGAUUUGGUGAAGCUGAAAGCUGAUGAUGUUUGGGUCCCUGGUAUGCCCCUUUCUUAUGAAACUGAGGUUUGCUUGCAAAGCCUUGUUUCGCUUAACGUCGACAAAAGGCAGCAGAACGGAGAGGACGAUGGGGAUAUCAAGAAGAUGGAGGAUUUCCUAUCUGAAGGGUUCAAAUUAGUGUUAUAGUGAAGUGAAAAAAAGAAGGUAAAAGGUAAGCUGUAGGAGAAAAGGAUUGUUUGUCUCAAUUCCCAUUUGCAGCAGCUGAAAUGGUCG